rnacentral:lncRNA from 1 species
AUUCACAGCUACCUUCUACAGAUGCACGGCCUACACAAUUUGGAAUUCAAACCACCACCUCUGAGUGGGUUUCCAGUACAUCUUUUGAAGGAAGGAAAACAGAGGAAGACAAAGAAAGAGAUACAAAUGCAGCCCACACAGGGGAAGUCCAACCAGCGACAGAGAGGUCAGAUCGCUUACUCUUAACUUCAGAAUUAGAAAGUUCAAAUGUGGCUGCAUCUAGUCCUUUGGACACCUGGGAAGGUUUUGUGCCAGAGACAACAUCAACAGUGUCCGAAAAGGAAAUGGCAAACACAACUCCUGUUUUUACAGAAACAAGUGAUGUAGCCAAUUUGGAGACACAGUCUUUU